ACGUAGAGCUGACAUGGUCAGGGACAGGCGGAGAGUCAGCCCGCCCAGCGUUCAGGAGUUAACAGGCAAUCUCGGUCGGCAACAGGAGUCAGAACUGGUAAUAGGAAGAGAGCAGAACCACGUGGCAAAGCAACAAGUAGCAAGCCGGACGAGCGACAACAAGUGACGGAAAUGCAGGGUUAAUGAGCUGGGAGCAGGGGUGGUAAUCUGCUGAUCACUGCAUAACAAGACGGGAGGGGAAAGAGCAGGGAAAGAGAACUGUCCGAGAAUGACAUUGGACAAGGCACAAGGGACACACCCUAAGGGAGGUAUUUCCAGUUCAACAACUUUAUGCUGAUGUCCAAAGUUGUGUAACGAGUCUUGCACACAUACUCAUAGAAAUGCUUUCGACUUUUACGUUCAACAUGUGAAUUUAAAUUUGAUGUUAUGAGAUUAGAUUAUAAAUUGCAUAGCAAUAUAUGUUCAAUUAUAGACCUCUGAGAGUUUAUGAAACAGAUGAUUCCAUUAUCAUUUUUAUUUUAUACAAAAAAAUGCCAUGCAUCUUUUGUCACGUUCUACAACAGUCAACAAAAACACACUGACACUAGUAAAGAAACAUGAACAUUUGGCAAAGAAGUGGCCUAAAAUGACUUGGUGUGUACAUUUUGGAGGGAGGCGGGGCGUAUAAUCUGACAAAAGUCAUCAUUCGACAACCAUCCGGAACUUGACAAGAAUUUGUAGGUUUUGUAUCUAGAUUUCUAACUUUUUGUGGACUGUGCUGGUUUUGGCUAUGUAGGGAGUGACACUGAUUUUGCUGAAAAGUCCAAUGGUUAUAUAAAGUCAUAUAGAUUAUACAUGUAGAUAUACAGUAGAAUUUGUGUUCUUUCGAACUAAAUUCCUGUGAGGUCAUGUGACUCUCAAUAAGUCAAUUGUACACAAUAGUCAGUUUUUGUAUCCUGAAAACAUACAUGGAGAGGUAAAUCGUAAAAUCCUUUAUUCAUUUUGCUUCAAAUGAGCAAAUGUAGAGAGAAAAAAAAAAUCAUCUUCUCGGUUACUUAUAUUUGGCACAGUUUGGAUGUGGCAAAUUGCUUCUACCCCCCUCGGAUAUAGGCUGUAUGACACGAGAAGGCAUUUGUGAAUUGCAGUACAGUACAAUGAAAUAAGAGGAAAGCUGGAUUGUGGAAGAAAUGCUACACUCCUUGUUUGAAGGAAAAUAAAAAGAGGUAGGAAAAAUCCACAAAAUGUAGACAGUUUUGUAAGACGCGGGAAGCGGUAAGGAACACUUGUCAAGCAUGCGACGCACUCACGCACGCACGCACACAGACACAAAGCCUGCUAACGGCAGAGCAGCAUGCGUAAAAUCAGCCCACAAAACAGUUUUGUUCUGGAAAUAGCUUAUGUCCUCAAAUAGUGGCCGCCACUCUAAUAGACGUGCCUAGAUUGGUCGCGGAGUAGAUCAAGCUCUUGAACAAAUAAAGAUAU